CUGCACCUUCGCGCGAGAAGCUCUGCGCAGGCGCGGUUGGGGCCGGACCGCAGCGGCGGCGGGUACCAGUCUACCUGCCAAGCUGGAGCCCGAAAUUGUCAAGAUGCAGCAGGCUGAGUGGAGGAAACUUCAAACACUAUGCUGUAAAUGCUUCAUUAACAGAGGGCAGAGAGGAGAAGUGAGAAGAAAAUACGACAAGAAACAUUCUGGGGCUCUUUUCACUCUGUCCAACUGGGGAGCUUGACUCACCUCCCUGUUUACAUGCCCUUGGGACACAGAAGCCUGCAGCUCCGCUCUCCCCAGUGAAGCCAGUCCCCUCCUCAUCUUGUACGACUUGGCUUCCAUCUCCACAACUUCAUUAAAUCUAUGCAAACCUUCCUCUUCGUUGGUGGACUUUAAACCUUUUGUCAGUCCCCAACUUCCUUAUUCUUUGAGCAAAAUUGUUGCAACUGACCUUCUCCUGCUUCCUGGAGUGCUUCCUGCUGUGUCCCUGCACAACACUUCUCUGGAUCCCAGUCCUCGCCUUUGCCGUCUCCUCUCCCUCCUGCUCCACAGUGAAGGGCGAUCCCCAAGGUCCAGUCCUAGACGUGAUCCAUCGAAAUGUUUGAUAGUCUCUGCCUGUGGUGUAAGCCCUGACGGGCUUUUUUCUUUUUUGUAAUGCAAGUGCCUGACUUAAGCCGUGGCAUCCACUUCAAGGGUGGCUACCUGGACAAACACAUCACCAGCCACACAGCCAGGUGAAGAGCCCAGGCCACCUCUCCGGACAGGGCUGCUUUGUUUUAGAGAUCUUGGUUGAUUUCAGUGACUGGCCAUUUGGGUCAUUUAUCCGCCUGCCACA